GUGCUCACUUCAGCAGCACAUAUAUUAAAAUUGGAGUGAUACACAGAAGAUUAGCAUGGCCCCUGCACAGGGAUGACACACAAAUUCAUGAAGUCUUCCAUUUUUUU
rnacentral:snRNA from 3 species